ACUCAGAUGUCAGAAACUGAAUCUGCUGUUUUUUUUUUGUUACUCAGCAUCAGCAUGAAGUUCAUUCUCUUGUGCAUCAGACAGAGACCAAUUAUUCAUCUGCUAUGAGGUCAUGACCUCAGCACAAACGACUAUUUUAUUAGUCGACUAAUCGUGUGUCGUGCGUUCAAUCAUACACACACGGAUACUCACCUUUUCGAAGGUCGUCUCGUAUUUCCUUUCCAUCAUGGUGGUGAAAUGUGAUUGGCCUGGUAAAUAGUUGUCAUAGUAUUCUGGGUUGAACUUCUUGACCAUGAUCGCCGGCCGUUGACGGGGCCUCAUGCCCUUUACCAGCAUGUUCAAAAUGGCCUCGGUCAGGAUUUUUGCGGUGUGCACGUGUUUGGCCUUGUAAGAAACUUGUCCAUUGUAUAACAAGAGUGCUCUCUUUUAGCACUGUAACGUGGCGGGAUAAAAUAAAUCCUUAGCAUUUGCAACAUUAGAGCAAAUACGUGACAUACAUACGUGUUCUACACAUGUAAUCGCCAUCACUAUAGUUGUUGCUACACCUACGAUGUUAGCGGCUAAGAGGUAAACUUACAGAGGCGACUCUACGUUCUACACCGUCAUGUGCUUCCUUUUAAGAUGCUUGUGCAUCGCCAAUGUGCUCCCGUGAAACAAGAGUUUCACAUUACAAAGUUUGAACUCUACUUGCUUCUCGAUUGUUUUAAUACAAUGCUCCCAAACCUUUGAGCUCUGUUGCCGACUCGCCAUGAUGCGUUAUUUCUCUGGUGAUUCUGAUCCAAAUGCUGAGCUUGAGUGGCACUAUUGCACAUGUAACUCGACUUAUGUAAGCAGCGGCUGACACGGAUGGCGACUAGUGCACAUGUGCGUUGCGCAGACAGGCAGCAAACGCCGAUUUGUGCCGUAGCAGGCGAGACUUUAAAAAUGCUUAUACAAUGAACGAGGCGUCGACUAUUUUUUGGUCAACGUCGUCGUGACUAAUCGUGGCAGCCCUAGACCUCAGCAACAACUUUUUCACAAAGGUUCAAAUAUAACAUUUAACUUCAUCAGCUCUAAAUCAGAUCUGUCAAGACAUCAGGAUGAUCCUAAACCUCCCAGCUGAUUUCAUUUUAUCCACAAUAUUACCAGUAAUCAUUUCUUGUCCAGAGAAAAAAAUCUGUCUCGUUAAGCUAAAUUCAUGAUGCAUCCUCAACUCAGGAUUAGACUUCCUCUUUUUGGGCCUCACAGCUCUCUGUAGCUGUUU